rnacentral:rRNA from 1 species
UACGUAGGGGGCAAGCGUUGUUCGGAAUUACUGGGCGUAAAGGGCUCGUAGGCGGCCAACUAAGUCAGACGUGAAAUCCCUCGGCUUAACCGGGGAACUGCGUCUGAUACUGGAUGGCUUGAGUUUGGGAGAGGGAUGCGGAAUUCCAGGUGUAGCGGUGAAAUGCGUAGAUAUCUGGAGGAACACCGGUGGCGAAGGCGGCAUCCUGGACCAACACUGACGCUGAGUGAGCGAAAGCGUGGGUAGCAAACGGG